rnacentral:rRNA from 1 species
CCUACGGGUGGCAGCAGUCGAGAAUCAUUCACAAUGGGGGAAACCCUGAUGGUGCGACGCCGCGUGGGGGAAUGAAGGUCUUCGGAUUGUAAACCCCUGUCAUGUGGGAGCAAAUUAAAAAGAUAGUACCACAAGAGGAAGAGACGGCUAACUCUGUGCCAGCAGCCGCGGUAAUACAGAGGUCGCAAGCGUUGUUCGGAAUCACUGGGCGUAAGGGGUGCGUAGGCUGUUUCAUAAGUCGUGUGUGAAAGGCGCGGGCUCAACCCGCGGACGGCACAUGAUACUGCGAUACUAGAGUAAUGGAGGGGGAACCGGAAUUCUCGGUGUAGCAGUGAAAUGCGUAGAUAUCGAGAGGAACACUCGUGGCGAAGGCGGGUUCCUGGACAUUAACUGACGCUGAGGCACGAAGGCCAGGGGAGCGAAAGGGAUUAGAUACCCUGGUAGUC